GCGCCCGUGGCCCAGGGGAUAGGGCGUCGGCCUCCGGAGCCGGAGAUCGUAGGUUCGAAUCCUACCGGGCGUACCA
rnacentral:tRNA from 1 species